GAUGAACGCUGGCGGCGUGCCUAAUACAUGCAAGUCGAGCGAAUGGAUUAAGAGCUUGCUCUUAUGAAGUUAGCGGCGGACGGGUGAGUAACACGUGGGUAACCUGCCCAUAAGACUGGGAUAACUCCGGGAAACCGGGGCUAAUACCGGAUAACAUUUUGAACUGCAUGGUUCGAAAUUGAAAGGCGGCUUCGGCUGUUACUUAUGGAUGGACCCGGGUCGCAUUAGCUAGUUGGGGAGGUAACGGCUCACCAAGGCAACGAUGCGUAGCCGACCUGAGAGGGUGAUCGGCCACACUGGGACUGAGACACGGCCCAGACUCCUACGGGAGGCAGCAGUAGGGAAUCUUCCGCAAUGGACGAAAGUCUGACGGAGCAACGCCGCGUGAGUGAUGAAGGCUUCCGGGUCGUAAAACUCUGUUGUUAGGGAAGAACAAGUGCUAGUUGAAUAAGCUGGCACCUUGACGGUACCUAACCAGAAAGCCACGGCUAACUACGUGCCAGCCGCCGCCGUAAAAC
rnacentral:rRNA from 1 species